rnacentral:rRNA from 1 species
UACGUAGGGGGCUAGCGUUGUCCGGAAUCAUUGGGCGUAAAGCGCGUGUAGGCGGUUCGGUAAGUCCGCUGUGAAAGUCGGGGGCUCAACCCUCGAAUGCCGGUGGAUACUGUCGGACUAGAGUACGGAAGAGGCGAGUGGAAUUCCUGGUGUAGCGGUGAAAUGCGCAGAUAUCAGGAGGAACACCAAUGGCGAAGGCAGCUCGCUGGAACGGUACUGACGCUGAGGCGCGAAAGCGUGGGGAGCAAACAGG